UGACUAAGCUGUCAAUCAAAGUACUUGUUGUACAUGACUGUGACACUGAAUCCAUGUAGAACAAGGAUUUUGAUUGGCAGUUGGAAA
rnacentral:pre_miRNA from 1 species